rnacentral:lncRNA from 10 species
CCCACUCUCCUCACUCCUGUUUCCUCUGGGCUCAAGUUUGUGGCCAUUAAAUAGAAGAGGAGAAAGUUUGAACCAGGCAUGAAAUAUUUAUCAGAACCUGAAGAACAUCUCUCUUUCUUCACAAGAAGCUUGUAACACAAUAACUACCACUUAUCGAGCCCCUGCUGAAUGCUUGGAUCUAUGCAAAUAAAAUUUAAUCUGAUCUACAGAACAACUCUAUAAGGUACAGCUGUUGGGAGCUGCAUCUCCUACCCUCAGUCUCCCUGUCUGUGGUUCCAGAGGGAAGAAGAGGGGAAAAAAAGGAUGAAGAGAAUUGUUUCAGUGCUGGGGGAGGUGAGUUUACAGCAGGGAUUUAGAUGGGCAUUACCUCAUGGGAUAGGAGCAAUUUUCUCCCUCUCCAGGCCUCUCACAGAUGUGAAACAACCGGCAGAUCUGACUUUCCCACCCCUAACCAUCAGAGGGGAUGAUAUGACUUGAAACCUGUGCUUCUCGAUUGAGAGGCUGGUGGGGGAAAGAGAGAUCAGGAAAAGGGUCCAGAUGUGUGUUCAGGGGUCCCCAGAGAGUUGAGGGAAACUAGCAUCUCCUUAGGGUAAGGAAGACAAAAUGACCAUUCCUGAUCCCAGAUUGCUUAGAUACU